GCGUUUUCCACAGUGCCCGUCGCUGGGGUAGUGAAACCCGGUAAUGAUCCCAUGCCCUAUCCAUGAAGUGAUGGCAUUUGCCCCUGUGUCCUUGACCAAAGGUUUGACCUUUGUCGGGUCGUCGUUAUCAGGUUCACACUUGAAAGACAAGUCUGAGACCGCGAGGCUAUCGGUGCCUGGUCUGAGUUCUGGGCUUCGCUGGAAUGGAGAGUGUCCUGGUCCAGGAAGCUUGGACCAGACUGGCUCCAGCCUGGCCGCUCUCCAUUCUUUCCAUUUCAGCUGAAUUUAAUGCCAGCGAAAACUGUCGCCUUGUCAACGCUGGAGACUGAAAAUCAUCCUCUGUUUUAGCCUUGGCACAGGUACAGCAGGGGGCAUCUGCGUUCAUGUCCUCCCACCCCCAUCGGCAUGCCACAGCCCUGACCUGAAAGGCCCAACCCCAGGAUUCUGGCUCUACGCUCCUGUCUUCUCUGGUCCCUCCAAUUGAUCAGGGAGAGCUCCCGGCCCAGCCACCUUCUCUCGGGAGGUCGCUUGGCCAGGGAACCGCUCCCCGAGCUGGAGCGCAUGGAACUGCAGAAGGGAGGUUAUCGGUGUCUAAAGACAGAAGUUUGCAGCUCUGUCACCACCAGUGGUGAUUAGCAAAGCAGAGCCUGGUGUCCCGUGCGGGGGAGACAGAUAAAGAGGCUGACGGACAGGAAGGAAAAUAGGGCGGAGAGACGGAAGGAGUGCAGUUAGCCAUGGGGCCCAGAAGCACGGCUCUCAGGAAUUCACCCCGUCAACAAGGACUGGGAGCCCUGGAGAAAUGUGGCAAGCUGGACGUGCCCAGGUCCAAGGGCUGCGCUGUUUUAUCCAGCCCACGUGAGCGGCUGAUUAGAACUGAGCCGUUUUCUUCCGUUCCUGUUCGUGGAACAGCCCCGGAUUCGGGCCAGUUCCACCUCUCUGUGGUGCAGGGCUGGUUACCUGCAUCACGGGAUAUUGCUUCUGCUGCACCUUUAUAAAGGAUUUCCUCCUGUUAAUUAAACCCAUCCGCUGUGUUUGGGUGCAGCCGGGGUUUCUUCUGCCUUCCAGCCAGAGGUGUGAAGAUCCCAGUAACCUAAUCUGUGAUGGGCAAAAGGACACACACACGCAGAGUGAAAAGACAGCAGCGUGCCCUCCCCAUCCUCUCCCUUGGUGGAAAGAGUCCUGCUUGGAUGCGCUCAUGACAGUGAUUCUAUUUUGUUUCAUCUCAUGCACAGCCAGGUGCAUGGGCCCGCCUGCAGGAUCAGGUAGGGAGCAUCGUCUUCAUGUGAUGUGUGUGUUUGUGUAUCUAAAUAAGCAUGCUGGAAGCUCGAGGGAGGAGAGGUAAAGUUUAAACAGCCCCACCUCCUUUUGCAAUAGACAAGGAAAAGUUCUUCUUUAAAAAGAUCACUGGCAUCUUCCUUGGCUGGCUUUUAAACAUGCACUGUAGCAGGUUGACUCAGCAUGUUUGAAUGGUAGAAACUGUAAUUAACCUUGUAGGCUUCCUGGCUGAAAGCAAACGCUUUAGUCUGACUGCUCUUGGCUGAUUUAACACAAACUCCAGCACCCUCUGGCCAGUGACGAGCGUUCGCAGUAGAUUAGUUGUAACUCGUACAACAUACAGCAGUUAGAAGCAGCGUAUCAGUCCAGGCUGGACUGUCCGAUUAAUCCACCCAUCUCUCCAAUCUUUUCACGUGACGUUACUGUUCUGGUGCCUUGCUGCUUCCACAGGUCUGUUCUAUCCCCCCCCCCGAGCGCCUACCCAUGGUGCAUUAGGCACCGUGACUGACAUCUGUCACGCGUGAGUCAUUCUCGCCCCAGGGGGCGAGCUGUGUGUGUGGUGGAGUGUUUUGGUUUGGGUGACAAGAUUUUUGUUUUUUGAAAUGCCCAUCCUGCUCUGCGUUAGGUCGGGUUUAACCCAUCCCUCGUCUACUGGAAUGGUAGGCAGGUCAGAGGUCAUUACAAGAAAAAGUGCCCAGCGCUUCCCUUUACCAGCCAGCACCGGGCUGUAUUUGAAGGUGAGUCAUCACACACACAACACACACACACACACACACACACACACGCACUCUCUGCAUGCUCUGGCAGUUUGUGGCGCUGCUGCACUGGCCUUAUCAGCAGGCAGCGGGGAUAGAAUUACCCCAGAGCACAAGGUGUGCCGCUCUCUGAAUUCUCCCAGCGCCGGGAUCCCUCUCGACCCCCCUCUCUGUUUGUUGUGUUUGGGCUUGAGAUAGCAGCAGAGGGUAAAUAACAUGUCGGGGAGGCGGCCGGGGGGUCUCCAGGGGCUUCAUUUGCUGCUGCUGGCCCCCGAUCCCAAGACUGGCCCCGCUUGUCGAUCGGGGUUCUUGGGCAUUGGUGCCGCGUGUGUGUAUUUGUGUGUGCUGGGGGAGCGUGGCAAAGAAUGUGCCAUGAAGCGUGAAGGCCACGGGCCCUGCAGCUUAUAUAUUUGUUGACAGUUUUCUGCCCCCAAAACUCUUGUUUUCCACUGUAAUCCUUUUAAUGUCUCGCACUUCGGCCUCCCGCCGUCUGCCCCAAUCCACAAAGACACAGCACACCCAGCUCUGGCUGCUCUACCGGCAGGCUGGACCCUUCUAACAAUUGCUGGGGGAAUGGACCAAACACUGUCGCUGGCCCAGAACAGCAUAACCACAAGCCCCGCAGGCCGCAGGUUGAUGGGGAUGAUACAGAUCUGUGUGUCUGUGCAUGCAUUCGGAGACACACUCAGUGUCUGUAUCUCUGGCCACGCUGAUAGGCCAUCAUUGAGGAAACCAGCCCUCUUCAGGAAAGCACUUAAGCAGGUACUUAACUUUAAGCAGGUACUUUAAGUGCUUUGCUGGACAAGAGCCUUGGUUGGUAGCGCUGCCGAAUGGGGAAGGCGUUUGCAGCCAGGCUAGGAUUUGGGGGUAAGGGGUGAGGACAGGGUCUGGGUUACCUCUAGACUUUCAGCCCCUGAUCCCCAAAAGGCUUUCUCAGGUUUUGAAGAGGAAAGUUUCUACUUCGGGAACCUCAAAGCACAAAGAGAACCUGGCCCCCAUCCCAUGGAAGAGAGGGGGUGAGGCUCUGAGGGGCCCCGUGUGAUGGGCACAGGGGCAUGUCUGGGCACAUCGGUAAUGCCCUGGGUGUCUGGCCCUUUCUCUCUGUGUUAGAAAUGAAUGUUUUCUUCCUUCUGCAACAGCUGUGUGCGUUGUUACAUUGCUUUCCUUCUCUUUGGCCCCCGCUUCUUAGCCCCCUCCCAUAUCCUCAGUCCAGACACAUGGACCUACUCAGCCUGGUUCUCACUGGGCAGCACCACCGCGGGCACUGGAGGUCCACAGGUGGCACCAUAUGCAGCAUGUAUUCAGCCCUUAGCCUUCCCUGAUAACAGCAGCCCCCAGCCGGCUGCUCCUUUUGUUUCUGGCCAGGAUUUCCCCCCAUCUCGCUUGGGGUUUAUUUUUUCCAAGGCCUUUUUUUUAAAUGGAUCUUGGCAUUUCUCUGUUGCGGGGUGUAGGUCGGUACUGUACCACUGCUGUAGUGUGUAGGUCUGUGCUUUCCCCUGUACCCCCGCUGUACCCACCGCUGUAGUGUGUAGGGCUGUGCUUUCCCCUGUAGGGUACUGUACCCCCGCUGCACCCACCGCUGUAGUGUGUAGGUCUGUGCUUUCCCCUGUACCCCCGCUGUACCCACCGUUGUAGUGUGUAGGUGUGUGCUUUCCCCUGUACCCCCGCUGUACCCACCGCUGUAGUGUGUAGGGCUGUGCUUUCCCCUGUAGGGUACUGUACCCCCGCUGUACCCACCGCUGUAGUGUGUAGGGCUGUGCUUUCCCCUGUAGGGUACUGUACCCCCGCUGUACCCACCGCUGUAGUGUGUAGGGCUGUGCUUUCCCCUGUACGGUACUGUACCCCCCGCUGCACCCACCGCUGUAGUGUGUAGGGCUGUGCUUUCCCCUGUAGGGUACUGUACCCCCGCUGUACCCACCGCUGUAGUGUGUAGGGCUGUGCUUUCCCCUGUAGGGGACUGUACCCCCGCUGUACCCACCGCUGUAGUGUG